UACGAAGGGGGCGAGCGUUGUUCGGAAUUACUGGGCGUAAAGGGCGCGCAGGCGGCUCUGAAAGUCAGAUGUGAAAGCCCCGGGCUUAACCUGGGAACUGCAUUUGAUACUCUGGAGCUUGAGUACGGGAGAGGAUAGUGGAAUUCCCAGUGUAGAGGUGAAAUUCGUAGAUAUUGGGAAGAACACCGGUGGCGAAGGCGGCUAUCUGGACCGUAACUGACGCUGAGGCGCGAAAGCUAGGGGAGCAAACAGG
rnacentral:rRNA from 1 species